UUCUUUUCUAUGUUUCCUCUCUUGAUUUUUUGAAAAUUAGAUGGAGUGCAAGUUCUUGCAUUAGGAUCUCGUAUAUUACGUCAAUACAGAAGGAAGAAGAAUAUCGUAGGUAAGGUUUCAAAUCUAUGAGUUUUUUUAGAUUGAUUGAAGGUUUUGUUUGAAGUUUUCUAUUAAUGUUCAUUUUUUUUUUUUUUUUGUCUUUCUAUUAGAUUGCACAAUCAAUUUUUGAGUUUCCUACAUCUAGACCGUGAGUUAGAUUGUUCUCCAUUUUGGGUUCGGCUUUGUUUAGAGUGUACAUUUACAGGUAAUUUGAAUUUCUCCAUUUUUUUGGGCAUUUUGAUUUUUUCUAAUUUUUUUUGGGUAUUAUGUAUAAAUUUUUUUUUAUAUUUUUCUAAAAAAAAAUUUCACAUUCUGUCA
rnacentral:lncRNA from 1 species